CGUACACUCCUGCGGGAGGCAGCAGUGGGGAAUAUUGCACAAUGGGCGCAAGCCUGAUGCAGCCAUGCCGCGUGUAUGAAGAAGGCCUUCGGGUUGUAAAGUACUUUCAGCGGGGAGGAAGGCAAUACGGUUAAUAACCGUGUUGAUUGACGUUACCCGCAGAAGAAGCACCGGCUAACUCCGUGCCAGCAGCCGCGGUAAUACGGAGGGUGCAAGCGUUAAUCGGAAUUACUGGGCGUAAAGCGCACGCAGGCGGUCUGUCAAGUCGGAUGUGAAAUCCCCGGGCUCAACCUGGGAACUGCAUUCGAAACUGGCAGGCUUGAGUCUUGUAGAGGGGGGUAGAAUUCCAGGUGUAGCGGUGAAAUGCGUAGAGAUCUGGAGGAAUACCGGUGGCGAAGGCGGCCCCCUGGACAAAGACUGACGCUCAGGUGCGAAAGCGUGGGGAGCAAACAGGAUUAGAUACCCUAGUAGUCCCAUGAU
rnacentral:rRNA from 1 species